rnacentral:rRNA from 1 species
GAAUAAAAAAAUUUAUUAAUUUUAUUUUGUUUAAUUUAUUUAAAAAAAGAAAUUUUUUGUUUUAUUAAAAUAUUUGAAAUAAUUUAUUUAAUAAUAGUGAAUUAGUAUUGUGAAAGAAAAUAUUAAUAUAAUUAAAAGAAAAAUUAAAGUUUUGUACCUGUGUAUCAGGGUUAAUUAAUUAAAAUUUAAUUAUUUAAGUUUCUCGAAUUUAAAAGAGUUAAUUAUUUAUUAAUUUUAUUGUGAAAUAAAUAUUUAAAAUAAAUAAUUAGAAAUGAAACGUUAUUCGUUUUUAAAUAUAUCUAGUUUUUAAAGAAAUAAAUUUAAUUUAAUUAUUAAUAUAUAAAAUUUUAAUUUAUUAAUUUUUUGUUAUUAAUAAUUAAUUUUUUUAGGGAUAAACUUAAAUAUAAAUUAUAAUAAUUUAAUUAAAAUAUAAGUAUAAGUUAUAAAAUUAAAAUUUUUUAUAAAUAAUAAAUUGUUAUAAAUAAUUAUAUGAGUAAAUUAUAUUUUUAUUAAAUUUAAAUUAUUUAUUUAAAUAAUUUUAUUAAUUAUGAAUAAAAUGUAAUAAUGAUUAAAUUAGUAUAAUAUGAUGUAUAUUUAAUUUAUAUAUCAAGGUUAUUUUAAGGAACUCGGCAAAUAUAUUUUUCACCUGUUUAAUAAAAACAUGUCCUUUUGAUUAUAAUUUAAGGUCUAAUCUGCCCACUGAGGAAUUAAAUGGCCGCGGUAUUUUGACCGUGCAAAGGUAGCAUAAUAAUUAGUUUUUUAAUUGGAAGCUGGUAUGAAUGAUUGAAUGAGAAAAUGACUGUCUUAAAAUAAUUUUUUUAGAAUUUUAUUUUUAAGUAAAAAAGCUUAAAUAAUAUUAAAAGACGAGAAGACCCUAUAGAGUUUUAUAUUUUUAUAAUUUUAAUUAUUAAUGGUUUUGAAUAAAUUAUAAUUUAAAAAUAUUUUGUUGGGGUGAUAGAAAAAUUAAAUAAACUUUUUUUAUUUUUUUACAUUUAUAAAUGAAUAAAUGAUCCAAAUUUUUUGAUUAUAAGAUUAAAUUACCUUAGGGAUAACAGCGUAAUUUUUUUUGAGAGUUCUUAUCG